UGAAAUCUCGAAGCUCAACUUCGAAACUGCGUCUGAAACUGCUAGUCUAGAGUGUCGGAGGGGGAAGGGGAAUUUCACGUGUAGGGGUAAAAUCCGUAGAGAUGUGAAGGAACACCGGGGGCGAAGGCGCCUUCCUGGACGACUACUGACGCUGAGGCGCGAAAGCGUGGGGAGCAAACAGGAUUAGAUACCCUGGUAGUCCACGCCGUAGACGAUGAACACUAGUUAUUGGGGGUAUUGACUUUUUCAGUGACGCAGCUAACGCAUUAAG
rnacentral:rRNA from 1 species